UACGUAGGUGGCAAGCGUUGUCCGGAUUUACUGGGCGUAAAGAGCGCGCAGGCGGUCGUUCAAGUCGCGUGUGAAAGCCCCCGGCUCAACUGGGGAGGGUCACGCGAUACUGAUCGACUCGAAGGCAGGAGAGGGAAGUGGAAUUCCCGGUGUAGUGGUGAAAUGCGUAGAUAUCGGGAGGAACACCAGUGGCGAAGGCGACUACCUGGCCUGUUCUUGACGCUGAGGCGCGAAAGCGUGGGGAGCGAACAGG
rnacentral:rRNA from 1 species